CUCCAUGUGUAGCGGUGGAAUGCGUAGAUAUAUGGAAGAACACCAGUGGCGAAGGCGGCUGUCUAGUCUGUAACUGACGCUGAGGCUCGAAAGCAUGGGUAGCGAACAGGAUUAGAUACCCUGGUAGUCCAUGCCGUAAACGAUGAGUGCUAAGUGUUGGAGGGUUUCCCCCUUCAGUGCUGCAGCUAACGCAUUAAGCACUCCGCCUGGGGAGUACGACCGCAAGGUUGAAACUCAAAGGAAUUGACGGGGGCCCGCACAAGCGGUGGAGCAUGUGGUUUAAUUCGAAGCUACGCGAAGAACCUUACCAGGUCUUGACAUCUUCUGCCAAUCUUAGAGAUAAGACGUUCCCUUCGGGGACAGAAUGACAGGUGGUGCAUGGUUGUCGUCAGCUCGUGUCGUGAGAUGUUGGGUUAAGUCCCGCAACGAGCGCAACCCUUAUUAUCAGUUGCCAGCAUUCAGUUGGGCACUCUGGUGAGACUGCCGGUGACAAACCGGAGGAAGGUGGGGAUGACGUCAAAUCAUCAUGCCCCUUAUGACCUGGGCUACACACGUGCUACAAUGGACGGUACAACGAGUCGCGAAGUCGUGAGGCUAAGCUAAUCUCUUAAAGCCGUUCUCAGUUCGGAUUGUAGGCUGCAACUCGCCUACAUGAAGUUGGAAUCGCUAGUAAUCGCGGAUCAGCAUGCCGCGGUGAAUACGUUCCCGGGCCUUGUACACACCGCCCGUCACACCAUGAGAGUUUGUAACACCCAAAGCCGGUGAGAUAACCUUCGGGAGUCAGCCGUCUAAGGUGGGACAGAUGAUUAGGGUGAAGUCGUAACAAGGUAACCAGGGCG
rnacentral:rRNA from 1 species